GUGUGAAGGAACUCUGCAAUUUAACUCCGUAACUUCGGGAAAAGGAGUGCCCCCGCAAGGGGGCCGCAGUGAAAAGGUUCUGGCGACUGUUUACUAAAAACACAGGUCUGUGCAAAGGCGUAAGCCGCGGUAUACAGACUGACGCCUGCCCGGUGCUGGUAAGUUAAGGGAGAGGGUUAGCCGUAAGGUGAAGCUCGCAACCGAAGCUCCAGUAAACGGCGGCCGUAACUAUGACGGUCCUAAGGUAGCGAAGUUCCUUGUCGGGUAAGUUCCGACCUGCAUGAAUGGCGUAACGACCGGAACACUGUCUCCACGAGAGACUCGGUGAAAUUGUAGUUGUCGUGAAGAUGCGACAUACCCGCAGCUAGACGGAAAGACCCCGUGAACCUUAACUGCAGCUUGGUAUUGGGUUUAGACCCAGCAUGCGUAGUGUAGGUGGGAGACUAUGAACCGCGUAUUUCGGUACGUGGGGAGUCAACGAUGAAACACCACCCUUGCUGUGUUUGAAUUCUAACCUGUUGUUUGUAGCAACAGGGACCGUGCUAAGUGGGCAGUUUGAUUGGGGCGAUCUCCUCCCAAAAGGUAACGGAGGAGUGCAAAGGUACCCUCAGCCCGGUUGGCAAUCGGGCAUCGAGCGUAAAGGUAUAAGGGUGCUUGACUGCGAGUCCGAUGGGACGAGCAGGGACGAAAGUCGGCCUUAGUGAUCCGGUGGUUCCGGAUGGAAGGGCCAUCGCUCAACAGAUAAAAGGUACUCCGGGGAUAACAGGCUUAUCUCCUCUGAGCGUUCAUAGCGGCGAGGAGGUUUGGCACCUGGAUGUCGGCUCAUCACAUCCUGGGGGUGGAGAAGCUCCCAAGGGUUCGGCUGUUCGCCGAUGAAAGUGGUACGUGAGCUGGGUUUAGACCGUCGUGAGACAGGUCGGUCCCUAUCUGCUGUGGGCGGAGGAUACUUGCGGGGCUUUCUCCCUAGUACGUGAGGACUGGGAGGGACGCACCUCUGAUGUUCCAGUUGUGGCGCUAGCCGCAGCGCUGGGUAGUCACGUGCGGAUGGGAUAAACGCUGAAGGCAUAUAAGCGUGAAACUUCCCCCAAGAUCAGGUAUCCCGCGCAAGCGAAGGCUCCUCGUAGACUACGAGGUCGAUAGGCCGGGCGUGUAAGUGUGGCAACACACUCAGCUAACCGGUACUAACAGCCGAACGUUUGGCCGC
rnacentral:rRNA from 1 species